AGGCGAUGAUGCAUAGCCGAGUUGAGAGACUGAUCGGCCACAAUGGGACUGAGACACGGCCCAUACUCCUACGGGAGGCAGCAGUAGGGAAUCUUCCACAAUGGGCGCAAGCCUGAUGGAGCAACACCGCGUGAGUGAAGAAGGGUUUCGGCUCGUAAAGCUCUGUUGUUAAAGAAGAACACGUAUGAGAGUAACUGUUCAUACGUUGACGGUAUUUAACCAGAAAGUCACGGCUAACUACGUGCCAGCAGCCGCGGUAAUACGUAGGUGGCAAGCGUUAUCCGGAUUUAUUGGGCGUAAAGAGAGUGCAGGCGGUUUUCUAAGUCUGAUGUGAAAGCCUUCGGCUUAACCGGAGAAGUGCAUCGGAAACUGGAUAACUUGAGUGCAGAAGAGGGUAGUGGAACUCCAUGUGUAGCGGUGGAAUGCGUAGAUAUAUGGAAGAACACCAGUGGCGAAGGCGGCUACCUGGUCUGCAACUGACGCUGAGACUCGAAAGCAUGGGUAGCGAACAGGAUUAGAUACCCUGGUAGUCCAUGCCGUAAACGAUGAGUGCUAGGUGUUGGAGGGUUUCCGCCCUUCAGUGCCGGAGCUAACGCAUUAAGCACUCCGCCUGGGGAGUACGACCGCAAGGUUGAAACUCAAAGGAAUUGACGGGGGCCCGCACAAGCGGUGGAGCAUGUGGUUUAAUUCGAAGCUACGCGAAGAACCUUACCAGGUCUUGACAUCUUGCGCCAACCCUAGAGAUAGGGCGUUUCCUUCGGGAACGCAAUGACAGGUGGU
rnacentral:rRNA from 1 species